UUCGUACCAAUGGUCCAAUACCUAUCCCAUGGCUCUCCAAUUGUUCCCUGUUGGUUCAAGAGCAAACCCUCUGCAAAAAUUUCCCAGAAAUGAAAUGUUCAAAUAAUUAAAAUUACCCAAUUGCAAAAUGUAUUCAAAUUUAGUUUCCUCAACAAUCAAGAAACUGUCUAUAUUACCCAGAAUUUGUUAUAGUUUUCGAGCUUUUUCUCACCUGAAUUCCUCCCAUUUCCUGGGAAACCAUUCAAGCUCUCACACUGCUGCUGCUACUACUACCCCCAAAACAACAUGCAAGAAUUCCCGAAUUUCUGGGGAUUUGGAAGACAGUAUUUAUGCAAUCCUCACUCUUGACCGAUGGGAGUCCCUGAACCACAUGGAAUACAAAUUGGCUUCACUUAGACCCGUUCAUGGAAGAUUGGCUUUGAAAUUUCUUGACUGGGUUAUCAAACGGCCGGGUUUGGAGUUGAAUCACAUAAUCCAUAUGUAUUGUAUUACAAUUCACAUACUAGUUAGAGCUAGGAUGUAUGAUUACGCUAAGACACUCUUAAAGCGUGUAUCUCGUUUAGGUGUCGAUGUAAGUUCCAUUUUUGGUGCCCUCAUGGGAACUUAUCGCCUUUGCCGUUCAAAUCCUUCAGUCUUUGACCUUUUAAUGAGGAUUUAUUUGAAAUUGGGACAAGUAGACCAUGCUCUAGAGACAUUUCAUUUGAUGGCUUCCCGAGGAUUUAACCCAUCAGUUCAUACUUGCAAUAUGAUCUUAGCUGCAGUUCGACCACAUCAAGUGGCUUGGGAUUUCUUUAAAGGGAUGCUUGCGAGAAGGAUUUGCCCAGACAUUAGUACCUUUAAUGCACUGUUGAACAUUCUAGGUUCCGAAGGGCAGCUUAAGAAAGCUGGGUAUCUCCUCAGGAAAAUGGAAGAAUCUGGUUAUGUCCCGAAUGUGGUUACUUACAAUACUAUGCUUGGUUGGUAUUGUAAGAAUGGAAGGUAUAAAGCAGUUUGUGACCUUAUGGAUCAGAUGAGUUGUAAAGGUAUUGAAGGAGAUACACAUACUUAUAAUAUGCUUAUUGAUAGUUUAUGUAGGAGUAAUAGGAGUACGAAAGGGUAUCUACUCUUGAAAAGGAUGAGGAAGAAGAAAAUACUCCCCAACGUGGUGACUUGUAAUACUCUUGUGAAUGGGUUUGUCAAAGAAGGGAAGCUUGAAGUUGCUGCUAAGGUUUUUGAGGAUAUGGGGAGGUUUGAUCUUAAUCCAAACCAUAUCACCUACAAUACAUUGCUUGAUGGUCAUUGCAGUCACGGUAGUUUUCAGGAAGCUUUCAAAAUUCUUUGUAGAAUGGAAUCUGUGGGGUUUACACCUAAUGAAGUUAGCUACGGGACUCUGUUGAAUGGAUUAUGCAAGCAUGCCAAAUUUAAACUUGCAAGAAGUGUUGUGGAGAGCAUGGAAGCAAAAGGUAUUACGGUUAGUUGUACCAUGUAUACAAUGAUGAUGGAUGGAUUUUGCAAAAAUGGCAUGCUCAGUGAAGCUAUAGAUUUGCUAGCCCCAAUGUCAAGAGAUGGCGCUUGUGCUGAUGUCAUCACGUAUUCUGUGCUAAUUAAUGGAUUCUUUAGAAUAGGAAAGAUGUAUAAUGCAAAGGAGAUAUUGUGUAAGAUGUAUAAAGCAGGAAUCCGACCUAACAGGGUCAUAUAUGCAACUAUGGUUUAUAAUUCUUGCAAACAAGGAAGAAUUAUAGAAGCCUUGAAAUAUUAUGCAGCCAUGAGCACUGAUGGACAUGAAGCUGAUCUUCAAACAUGUAAUUUGUUGGUUUCCUCUCUUUGCAGCAGUAAAAUGUUUCAGGAGGCUGAGGAUUUCAUGCAACACAUGAGUAUAAUUGGUGUCACGCCCAAUUCCAUUACCUUUGACUGUAUGAUUGAUGGUUAUUCAAAUUUUGGCAAUGUUUCCAGAGCAUUUUCCUUUUUUGAUGAGAUGGUUAAAUUAGGUUAUAAUCCAAGACCUCUCACGUAUGGAAGUCUUCUGAAAGGACUCUGUAGGGGUGGAAACUUCGAGAUGGGGAAAAGAUUUUUCCGGUCGCUGUGUAAUAUUUCUGGUAUGCCUGAUGCUUCUGCAUACAAUACAUUGAUUGCUGCAAUGUGUAAAUCGGGCAGAUUGGCAGAAGCAGUAGACCUCUGUGAUGAAAUGAUCCGGAAUGAUCUUCUACCUGACAGGCACACAUACAUUACUCUUCUGAGUGGUUUAUGUAAAAAGGGAAAAGUUGUUGCUGCACUUCUCUUUCUUGGAAAUUUGACUAGGAGGGGAAUUUUAUAUCCUUGUCAAGUGGUAUAUACUAUACUGAUUGAUGCUUCAUUUAAGGCUGGUCAUCUAAACGCUGCUUCCUAUUUGUGUGAUAAUAUGGUGAGGGAAGAGGUCUACCCUGAUGUUGUUGCUACAAAUGCUAUUAUUGACGGAUAUUCUAGGAAUGGGCAAGUGAUGAAGGCACAUGAAAUUCUUCAGUUGAUGAGUGGGAACUCUUUUCCAAGUUUGGCUUCAUAUAACAUUCUUUUACACGGGUACUCAAAGCAGCGGGAACUCUCAAAAUGCUUUAUUUUGUACAAUUCUCUAAUAAGGAAGGAACAUAUUCCUGAUAAUUUAACUGAACAUUCUCUCAUUCUUGGACUCUGUGAGUCACAGGCAGUUGAACUUGCUGUGAAAUGUUUGAAGAAGAUGAUAAUGGAGAGAAGUAUUCCUGAUCAGUUGACAUUUAACAUGCUUAUCAGAAAAUGUUGUGAAAGUGGUAAGAUGGAGAAGGCAUUCGAUCUCACUGAUGUGAUGAUGAAGGUGGGAGUGCAAACUGAUAGAACUACCUAUGAUAACAUCGUCAUUGGACUCACCAAAACAUACGCUUUCCAGGAGGUCCGAAUGAUUUUUCGUGAAAUGCUUGCAAAGGGUUAUGUCCCUACUUGCAGACAGUAUAUCACUCUGAUGAAAGGAAUGUUGAGAGCAAGAGAUAUAGCAGGUGCUUUUAGGCUUAAGGAUGAAAUGGAGGGUCUUGGUGUUAGCUCCUGUGAUGUAGCUGAGAGUGCUAUGGUUAGGGGACUUGUGAACUGUGGAAAGAUUGAUGAUGCAAGAUUGGUUUUUGAUUUCAUUCUCCGGAGGAAUCUGGUUCCAUCUGUUGUCACGUUUACAACAAUGAUGCAUGGGUUUUGCAAAGAGGCCAGGGUUACCGAGGCUUUGAAAUUGCGGGAAAUCAUGGAACAACAUAAAUUAAAACCUGAUGUCAUUUUGUACAAUGUACUUAUUUCUGGCCUUCAUGCUACUGGUGAUACGGGUAUGGCUUAUGAGCUAUACGAGGAGAUGAAACAAAGAGGUCUUUGGGCUAAUAGUACUACUUUUGAGAUUCUCAUUAAUGCUGUUCUUGCUAAAAAGGACCUUGUAAAGGGUGAAACUCUUCUGACAGAUAUGCUUGAAAGGGGAUUCAUAUCUCAAAUCGGAAGCUCAGAUGACAUGGAGCAGGUUUUAUUAUCUGCUCUGAACACCUUGAAAUAUAUGCGACAUAAUAGAGGGAAUCAAGAGGGCCGGAGAUUAGGCUUCAUUAACAAUCAGGUUUAAUGGAAGUAGACAACAAGAUGCCUGAUCUCAGCCUCUUGGCAAAGGGCUUUUGCAGAGACUUUUGUUAAAUCUGUGUGCUCAUAGUGUCACCAGAGCAACUUUAGUUCGUCUUUUGCUCAAGCCUGAGGCUGAAGUUACAGCUGGAAGUCUUUCAGCCACCAAUCCCAGAGGCUCUAUGGUUGCCCCUCAAAUGUGGUCUAUGGUCAUUCCCAGUUGUUAGAGGGUCCUCCACCCUUGGUUUUGCGUCUUGUUCUUGAGAUUUUAAAUUAUUUGGCCACCAAUCAUUCUGCUGUUGCAAACACGUUGUUCUACUUUGAGCCAUCACUUUUGCCCGAGUCUUUCCAGAAGUAUGCAGUAAACAAAAAGGGAAAGGGCAAAGAAAAAGUAGGGGAAGCUGGAGUGCCUCCAAACUCUGUUCAGGAAUACAAGGAAGGGGGUACUCCUUUAAUAUUGUUGUUGAAGCUUUUGAAUCGCCCUCUUUUCCGUCGUAGCAUUGCUCAUGUUGAG